ensembl:lncRNA
GCGGGCGUGUAAAUUGUGCAUAUAAAGCCGUUUGGAAGCGAUUCCUCUGGACAGCCUGCGAGGACAGGACGACUACCUGCCUGCUGCCUGGAAGGAGAUAAUCGAUAGCAGGAAAUCGAGGCGUGGAGACACUCGUGAGCAGUUUAGCGCCGAUAAAAGUGGCCAGUGUGGAUAUUUGGAUAUAAGAGGGUGGCUCUGUAAAGUUUGGGACGGAAUAAAAGACAACAGCAUUCGAUUCUUGCGGCGUCGAUCAUCAUUACACACUCGAGGCUGUUCGAGGCAGCUUAGAAAUCUCUUACAUCUGGAGGAGCCAUAAGUCAUGGGAUUUGGUCUGACAGCCAUGACAGGCGGAGGGGCGGCCAGAAACAACUGUCUCCUAUGUAGUGCUAUUUGUGCGGAGGCAGGAGAGGAGGAGCAGGCACAGGACCAC